rfam:Camelus ferus unplaced genomic scaffold scaffold544, whole genome shotgun sequence.
GAGGGUAUAGGUCCGUGGUAGAGUGCCUGCUUAGCAUGCAGGCGGUCCUGGGUUCAAUCCCCAGUACCUCCA